GCAUUUAUAACCAAUAUUUGUGUACAAAUCAUUAAAUGUAAAUUUAUUCCUAGUGAUCAGUUAAGUUGAUCUUCUGAUUGGUGCUAGAAUCGUUGGCUCAUCUGCUUUUGGUUUAACUUGAUUUUGGAUGAGGUGCACAAAUAGCCCCUUUUGGACUGCUAUUACCAAAAUUUAACAAGGAUUUAAGAUUUACAUGAUACAAACUGACUAUAUUUUAAAUAGCGUAUCUAAAAGCUAUUCUACCUUGUUCUUUACUCAAAAAGACACUAAACUGAACAUAUCAAAAGGCUAAACAUAAAAGCAUAUAUUUUUUCUUUAUUAGGAUAAAUAAGGAUAGGGCAUUAGAACAGAACCGUGACCAAAUAUUAUACAGGAUAUUUACAUAUAAAUAAGAUCUAUAUUGUACAGAGUGCAACAAACACCCGUGUCAAAUGACCUACUCUACCAGCCAAGUAAAAACCUAACUACAUUGACCAUCAAAACAUGA
rnacentral:lncRNA from 1 species